ACUCAAAUGAAUUGACGGGGGCCCGCACAAGCGGUGGAGCAUGUGGUUUAAUUCGAUGCUACGCGAAAAACCUUACCCAGACUUGACAUCCGGCGCUAUCCUUAGAAAUUUGGAGUUCCCUUCGGGGACGCCGAGACAGGUGCUGCAUGGCUGUCGUCAGCUCGUGUUGUGAGAUGUUGGGUUAAGUCCCGCAACGAGCGCAACCCUCGUCGCUAGUUACCAUCAUUCAGUUGGGCACUCUAGCGAGACCGCUUGGCUUAAAGCCAGAGGAAGGUGGGGAUGACGUCAAGUCCGCAUGGCCUUUAUGUCUGGGGCUACACACGUGCUACAAUGGGAAGCACAAUGCGCUGCAAGCCAGCAAUGGCAAGCUAAUCGCAAAAAACUUCUUUCAGUUCGGAUUGGAGUCUGCAAUUCGACUCCAUGAAGCUGGAAUCGCUAGUAAUCGUGGAUCAGCACGCCACGGUGAAUACGUUCCCGGGCCUUGUACACACCGCCCGU
rnacentral:rRNA from 1 species